rnacentral:tRNA from 1 species
GGAGAUGGGGCUCAAUGGUAGAGCACUUGCCUAGCAUGUGUGAGGCACUGAGUUCAAUCCUCAGCACCA